rnacentral:rRNA from 1 species
UACAGAGGUCUCAAGCGUUGUUCGGAUUCAUUGGGCGUAAAGGGUGCGUAGGCGGCGCGGUAAGUCGGGUGUGAAAUCUUGGAGCUUAACUCCGAAACUGCAUUCGAUACUGCCGUGCUUGAGGACUGGAGAGGAGACUGGAAUUUACGGUGUAGCGGUGAAAUGCGCAGAUAUCGUGAGGAAGACCAGUGGCGAAGGCGGAUCUCUGGACAGCUCCUGACGCUGAGGCGCGAAGGCUAGGGGAGCAAACGGG